rnacentral:misc_RNA from 1 species
GAGAAAUAUGAUAUUAUUAAACAAAGAUGUUUAAAAACUGUAAUUUAGGAUCAGAAUAACUAUACAUCUGAAAUGGUUUGAUAUCAAUGAUUAAAAUGUAAUAUAAACUCAUUUGAAAUAGAACACCCAUAUCUAAGAUAGAGUGCGGGCUAGCUUGGCAACUAAACUCGCAUACCUAGGUAAAACUUUCUCAAACUAUGUGUACAACCAACCAUGCCUAUAUCAAAAUCCAAAAACUUUAGACGCUAAACUUAAUAGAGGAUCUAAAGCGCUUGGGGCGAACUUCCUUGCAAAGAGAUAGCACACAGUUGUUGGUUGAUUAUUAUAGGUGCAUGACUGCCCUUCAAACAUCUUCUUGAAGAACUGCUCUGUAAUGUCAGCCUUUCCAAAUGUUGCUGGGUGUGCACCUCCCCUAGACCAAUCUGUCCAGGUAAGCGUCCUAUUCGCCAAGAGAGGUGGAGCUUGGAUGCUCAACAUCGUAGGGAAGUAGUGCUCAUCCACAUAACAUGCUGGCUGGCAAAAGUCUCUGAACUUAGGGUAGUAUGUGGUGUCCUCGAUUAUAUUAACUGCAAGUCUUCGAUUCACUUCAAACCAUUGAGACCCUUUACGCCACUGUGCAAGUGUAACCUCAGGCUGCAUGUUCCAAUUAUAUCGGCCUCUACCAUAUGGACCAUCUUCAUCAAAUGAUCCCAUAAAACUGUACCGUGAUCUUGAUAUGUAGCGAUAGAUAAUGCUAAAAUUGUGGAGAGGAAUGCAUGCCUCAGACACUAGGAUGAACCAUUCAUUGGAAAUAUCAAGCAGUGCAUUUGCUAGGAGUCUCCUCUCAGCAUCACACAUACUCAUCCUUCCCCACUCUACGACCUGACUUGGGAUUUGUCUCUUGUAGAACACUGAUGAUGGCGUAUAGUUUCCAGCAUAAGAAGGCAAUGAAUGAACAUAGAUCGAAUAAAGCCCCUCAUGGCCCUUGAAAAACCUCUCCCAGAGAGGUGCCAAUGGCAAUGGUCCCUUUGUCAAGAACAUGAAGGCAAUCUUCGGAACUCUCCUAUAUGGAUAUUCCUUUAUUCGAGGAACAAAUGAGGCACGCCAAAACAACUCUGUAUCAUUCAUCUUAUGCAACAGGUUUGAUGGAGGCCUAAUCCAGUUCUCUAAAUCAUUUGGUGCUUCAAAGCAAGGGAGAAAUAUAUUGGACCUUCCUACACCAGUUACAUUUUGGAUUCCAAAAUAUCGAAACGUAUACAUACUAAUUAUGGAAACCCCAAGACCCAGAACCAAAAACAACAAGAAAAAUUGAAGGAGUCUCAAUGGCAGAGGCCUAUUCUGAAUCAAUCUAAUAGUAAUACCAGGCUCCUUGCCAUCCUCCAACGCCAUUAUCAACUCUGAUAUUGUAUUUUCAAAAGAAUUUAAUUCCAAAACACUCUAUAUGCAUAGGAAAAAAAAAUUCCCUAAUGACAGAAGGGUCUCCA